rnacentral:misc_RNA from 1 species
UGACAAAAAUUUUCUACAGGAAAAAAAAAUACCAUAACUUAAAUAUUAGCCCAUCAAGAAGCAAUGUCUGCAUCUGUUAUUUAACUGUGGAAUUCUUCCCACAAGUUCUUCAAGUUCUCAACUUUUAAAUAAUUAAGAAGUUAUUUCUAAAAUUUUAGUAUCUUGUAGGGAGGCAGAGAGAAACAGUGCAUGGAGACUCACCAAUGCUGCAGAUGAUUUAGAUUG